rnacentral:siRNA from 1 species
ACCACGACGAGCCAGAUCCGCA